UACCUCAAAAACUGCUAAAACCUCUCAAACCCAAACUGAUUAACCUUAGUGGAAUUACUUCAAGCACUUGGUAUGCAACAAAACCCAAGAAAGAGAAUAAAAAUCUUAAUGGGUAUCUCUGAGUAGUCUCAUUCUUCACUGAACACAACACAAAACCAAGAAUCCAAGACCAAGAAGAGCACAACACUUUUGACUAGAACUAAUAAGAGAGAUACUACACACAUAGCUCUCUCUUUACCAAAAGCUCAUAACCAAAAACAUUAAAAGAUAAACCCUUUUCACUAAAAAUCACAUUCUUGAAUCAUGAUGAUAUAUCAUUAUAAAAGCUCAUAUCUCUAACCUUUUAACUUUAAACCCACAACGACUGAACCUCCCAAAUGUGGAUAAUCUCAUCAUCAUAUUAUAUGAAGGAAAAUGAACCACAAAAAGGUACAAUUUGGGUUUUACAAAAGUUCAAUUUUUUUCUUAAAUCUCUAAACAAUUUGGUACUAAUUAUUAUUAUUAUUAAUUUGAUGCACAACAAACAGAGGGAUGAAAAAAGAAAAAGAAAAAAACAACAACUGGAACUAGAGAGAAAGAAGGCGUGGUAAAAAGGUCGGCAAAUCCUCGUCUGAUUUAUGGUUGAGACUUGAGACUUUGAGAGGUCGCAUUCCCCAAGAGAUGCUCAC
rnacentral:lncRNA from 1 species